CUAAUCAUUCUCCUAAACAACUGUCAAUUUUGUCAACAUUCUCUCAUUGUAAUUCCUGUCUUGUCCACAGGUGGGCAGUAUGUUCAUUGCAGAUGCAGAUGAGAAGCUCUCAGUACAGUAAGUACAUGCUUAGAGUAGAAGUUGCCCUUAGCCACAGAUCUAGUAGGUGAAAAACACAGACCUGACUGUAGUUCAGUGUCUAUAGGACAACUUCAUCCAUGCAGAAUGAUUGGAACCUCUUUGGUCCCUUAGUCAGUGUGAUGUCACAAAUACAAUCUGGAACCAUUNNNNNNNNNNUGUCUGCUUAGAAACAGGAAGAGCUGUCUGUCUGCUUAGAAACAGGAAGAGCUGUCUGUCUGCUUAGAAACAGGAAGAGCUGUCUGUCUGCUUAGAAACAGGAAGAGCUGUCUGUCUGCUUAGAAACAGGAAGAGCUGUUUGUCUGCUUAGAAACAGGAAGAGCUGUCCGUCUGCUUAGAAACAGGAAGAGCUGCCUGUCUGCUUAGAAACAAGAAGAGCUGUCUGUCUGCUUAGAAACAGGAAGAGCUGUCUGUCUGCUUAGAAACAGUUCACAUUAAAGUAACAGAUGAUGAGAUAUUUCAUGUCCAUCCAUAUACUCAUAACCCCAGGGCAGACAUUUAUGUUGAUUGUCAUGUUCUCUCCCUGUGUCUGUGUCUCCAGACAGUACAAAGACAAAGAGGAGGAGAACCAUGGAGGGUUCUUCUCUACACUCACCAGUAUGGUGGGCAGUAUGUUCAUUGCAGAUGCAGAUGAGAAGCUCUCAGUACAGUAAGUACAUGCUUAGAGUAGAAGUUGCCCUUAGCCACAGAUCUAGUAGGUGAAAAACACAGACCUGACUGUAGUUCAGUGUCUAUAGGACAACUUCAUCCAUGCAGAAUGAUUGGAACCUCUUUGGUCCCUUAGUCAGUGUGAUGUCACAAAUACAAUCUGGAACCAUUAUUCUAAUUGGCUGAUAUUGACUUUUGACCCCUCUCUGACCUCCCCCAGGACCAAUGAGGCGAUUCUGCUGGCGCUGUACGAGGCCGUGCACCUCAACCGCAACUUCAU
rnacentral:lncRNA from 13 species